rnacentral:rRNA from 1 species
AUUGAACGCUGGCGGCAGGCCUAACACAUGCAAGUCGAGCGAGCGGCGGACGGGUGAGUAAUGUCUGGGAAACUGCCUGAUGGAGGGGGAUAACUACUGGAAACGGUAUCUAAAACCGCAUACCCUCAGCUUUGCCCAGAGGGGAUUAGCUCGUAGGUGGGGUAACGGCUCACCGCGGCGACGAUCCCUAGCUGGUCUGGGCGGAUGACCCGCCAUACUGGAACGGAGACACGGUCCAGACUCCUACGGUAGGCAGCAGUGGGGAAUAGGGCACAAUGGGCGCAAGCCUGAUGCAGCCAGGCCGCGUGUGUGAAGAAGGCCUUCGGGUUGUAAAGCACUUGCAGCGGGGAGGCGUUACCCGCAGAAGAAGCACCGGCUAACUCCGUGCCAGCAGCCGCGGUAAUAC